rnacentral:snRNA from 1 species
ACCUUAGUCUCUUCAAAAGAUU